UCUUAUCACAUAUAAUUUCUCUUCACCUAAAACUUUAUAACAGACAAAAGUCAUUAUCAUAUACAUUUCUUGCAAAUGCAAACCUGAAACACAAACAUAAGAUUGUAUAAAACUUAAUAACCAUAGAUCACAAUUAAAGUGUAUCCCGUCCGUAGGCGGGCCGACCCUAGUAUCUUUAUAUCUUUAUAUAUAAAGAAGAGUUUGAAUCUCUCACAUGAAGCCACAUGGGAUGACAGGUCAGAAAGUCAGGCUUCCAGGAAUCGACACGUGUCCCCUGUCCUUAAACUAUGCGUUUCAUUUAAUUGUUAACAACAUUGAUGGGCUUUUGUGUGUUUGGACUUCAGGCUUUGUUCCAAGAACCCAUCUCGAUAACGAGCAACCCUAAUCCUCUCUACCCACGCCUCAUCGAAAUUUAGGGUUCUACGCAAGAUUUCAUAUCCAAUGUUCGAGCGACUGUGUUGCCCAAGUCAACCUGAUGAAUCCUUUGUUAGGGUUUCGCUUGCGUCAUUUGAGAUUCUUCUUCUCCAAUCGAAACGCUUCCAUUUCAGAUUCAUCACAUUUAACCGCCACUUAACUCCAUCAACACGAUCUAGCCAUCGAUGUGAUCUUCUGUCUUGCGAGGCAGUUUAUCUUUGAGUAUAAAAAGGAGGCCAACACGUACUCUAUGGAAAGGGAAGAUGGUGAUCGGAAAAGAUGCCCUUUUCGUGAUCAUGGGUCUUAAGAGACUGAACAUAGGUGGCGAGAAAUUGAAAAGACGUAAGCAAACCACUGAUUAUUGCAUACAAAAGAGUUUGAGGCGGGAGAAGAAGACUUGGAAGAUAUGCAGCUCCUUCUAUGAGACGCCUUCCACAAUGUACUCUGAGCUCUCCUUCAUACUAGCUGUUUUUAUCAUCUCAUCAUAUCAUAUUUAGUGGCAUCCAAAACGAGCAAGGAGGUGUUUUGAGAAGCGGCGGGAAGUGGUGGAGGCAGAGGCCAAGGUGGUGGCUACAGAGGACAAAAAGGUGGCUGAGCUCUAGACUGUUGUGCGUAAAAGUGGGAUGGAAAACGGAAUAGCGAGCUCUAACAUGGUAUUAGGAAGAACGUGUAAGAUAACAAUAGCCAUUUCUACAGUUUCUGAUCAUCACAUAAACACGCUCCUGCCUGUCAAAGAGCAUUCGGAGAUGAAGCAGUAGUUGUUGCUUCGACUUACGCAAGGAUCUUUCUCUGUAACUCGGUGGCUACGGAAAUGUGUUUCCGCUUGAGUCAGAGGUUUAUGUAUGCGAUGAGUGUACGACGGGAGAAACGGUGACGAUCGAGCUAAGAGAGAGCGAUGGGUUAUUGACUAAUUACUCGACCGGGAAACAAUAUAAGCUAUAGGCGAUAGGUGAUGCUGGGCUGGUAAUGCUGGUGGUAUCUUUUCUUAUGCGAGGAAGAUGGUAAUGAUUCCAUCUCCAUUAACAGCUUAACUCCACAUUCAAUAUGAUGUGUUCACAGUUCUGUUCUCAUGACUUUGUUGUUGUUGAUUAUUUAUCUACUCAAAUCUAUCUCUCUUUUCAAGGACUGAGAAGAUGACUGCAUUUUCCAUGUAGCAGAGAUAUGAUUUUUAUGUACUCAUUAUCUUCUGUGUCUCAACUAGAUUUCUUAAGUAGUUGAUACCCGUUUGUGUCUUUGUAUUCAACUUAUUUUGUUGGUUGGCACACAUUCUGUACUAUAUUUCCAUAACGUCCACUUGGAUAAUUUGUUA